rnacentral:lncRNA from 1 species
GCCGCCUGUCCAGCACCACGAUAGCCGGGCAGUAUGCUGACUGCCCCCGGUUACGUUCGUUGCAUUGCAGACAGAAGGGAAGCAGUCUGUAGUCACAUUCGGGAUGACCCGCCGCCUUACAGCCAGAAUUUCAUUCAGAUCUGGCACCGGCGGAUUUCUGGCUCCUCCCCAAAGUCAGAAGGACUGAGAAAAGCAAGCACUUUGGAUUGAUUCAGGACAGACAGGUGCAACAGCACAGCUGAAGACUCCCACCAGAGAGAACUUUCGGGACUCCAUUAGAAGGUGGCAAGGGGAAGGGGUGAGCGCGUUCAAAGAGAGGGAGGGUUAUGCGUGGGAUUCACCGC